AUCCAACUGGCGAGUCCAAAGUAGGACGAAGCGUGCGUCCUAGAU
rfam:Schistosoma mattheei strain Denwood, Zambia genome assembly, scaffold: SMTD_scaffold0013093